UGAAAGGUUUCUCUCUCGGAUCUUAUUUAGAAAGGUUUCUCUCUGAGCUCUUAUUGUGAAAGGUCUCUCUCUCGGCUCUUAUUGUGAAAGGUUUCUCUCUCGGCUCUUAUUUAGAAACGUUUCUCUCUGAGCUCUUAUUGUGAAAGGUCUCUCUCUCGGCUCUAAUUGUGAAAGGUUUCUCUCUCGGCUCUUAUUGUGAAAGGUUUCUCUCUCGGCUCUUAUUGUGAAAGUCUCUCUUUCGGCUCUUAUUGUGAAAGGUUUCUCUCUCGGCUCUUAUUGUGAAAGGUUUCCCUCUCGGGUCUUAUUGUGAAAGGUCUCUCUCUCGGCUCUUAUUUUGAAAGGUUUCUCUCUCGGCUCUUAUUGUGAAAGGUUUCUCUCUGAGCUCUUAUUGUGAAAGGUCUCUCUCUCUCGGCUCUUAUUGUGAAAGGUUUCUCUCUCGGCUCUUAUUGUGAAAGGUUUCUCUCUCGGCUCUUAUUUAGAAAGGUUUCUCUCUGAGCUCUUAUUGUGAAAGGUUUCUCUCUCGGCUCUUAUUGUGAAAGGUCUCUCUCUCGGCUCUUAUUGUGAAAGGUUUUCCUCUCGGCUCUUAUUGUGAAAGGUCUCUCUCGGCUCUUAUUGCGAAAGGUUUCUCUCUCGGCUCUUAUUGCGAAAGGUCUGUUUCCUCUCAGCUCUUAUUGUGAAAGGUCUGUUUUCUCUCAGCUCUUAUUGUGAAAGGUCUGUUUCCUCUCAGCUCUUACUUUGACAAGAAGGGUCUGGUGCGGCAGCGCCACAGACAAACUACACCUAUGACCUGGAUCUAUGCGAGACUGCUGAUAAAGGGAUGGUAUGUAUGCUACAACAAGGACAUCUUAACCCAUGUUUAACCGGAGACGAGGUGUUAUGUGAUUGGACUCAUGAACCAGCUAGAGAAACAAUAAAGAGUCAUCCUCAAUUACCUCAGGUGCCUUUCGUUGGGUGUUUUGAUGUAUACAUCUGAAGUUGGAAUAACGUGACCUAUCAAUUAACCAAUUUCACUAUCUCCCUGGAUUGGUUCAAAUGCGCAUUGAAUCAGUCUACAGAACUAAAUCGCUUAAUUGAAUCACACAGGUCCAACAUUUCCAGCUUAAAGGUGUCUACAUUUAUGGCCCAAGGACAGGUUCUGCAUGCGGCUACGUUAAUGGUGCAAUCAUCUGCACAUCAUUGGUGGGACAUUUUUAAUGGAAUGUCUGUUACUGCUCGAAACUAUGUCGUACCUCCCUUGCUUUUGCUCAUUAUUGUUAUUAUAGUGUUAACCUUAUGUAAUGUUUGCACCUGUAUAAUCAAAAGUGGUUUUGGGACGGAAAGAAUAACUUUAAAAAAGACCUUGGGGACAGUUUUUCUAAAAUUAGGUUUUCCCAAAAUUAGGAUUGUCAAAGACCAAGGGGUGGAGUGAUAUAUUAAAGAAUUGUUUUUGCUCUUUAACAAUGUAUUAUGGGAAAACCUGCUCAGUUUUAUAACUUUUAAUAUUAUGGGAAGACUGGUCAGUUAAAUAAAUAAGAGAGAGGACUGGCCAGUUCACACAUUGAUGAUUGCUGUUGUGGUGUUCGCACCUGAGUUCACAUGAAACUAAGAACCACAUGUGUUAUUGUGUUAUAAUUUGUUUUAACUUGUGGUGGGAACUUAUGACAAUGUGUUGUGGGAAAGACUGAUUCUGUAUUCCUUAUUUUGUUUAUAUUUGCUGUAUUCUGAGUGCACUCAUAUUAUUUUGCUUCGCACACUGCUGAAAUGCUGGGAACGGGUCCUGUUUGGGAAACAUGCUUAGGGAGGCAGGGCAGCUGUGGAGGGAGAAAUGGCCACUCUCGCUCCACAUCUGACUCUUUGUUUACAAGUAUAUAAAGAGGAGACUGCCCUCAGCCCAGGGAGUCUGCCGUGAGUUCGUGUGUGGAAUACCGGCAUCGUGAACGCUGAUCUUAACCUCGGACUGAGGGCUCCCAGUUCGUGUCAAUGGUAAGAGCUGAUUCUGAGAAUCUGUUGAGCGUCACGUUUGUUUGAAAGCUUGUUGCUUUAUUGCCUGCUACUUUGCGGGUGUGAAGAGCUAAUUGUUUUGAUGUGCUGUAUUCUGUGGGGAAUAAUAAUAAAUGUGUGCCUUAUAUUCUAA